rnacentral:rRNA from 1 species
UACAGAGGGGGCAAGCGUUGUUCGGAUUUACUGGGCGUAAAGGGCGCGUAGGCGGCGUGGUAAGUCACUUGUGAAAUCUCUGAGCUUAACUCAGAACGGCCAAGUGAUACUGCUGUGCUAGAGUGCAGAAGGGGCAAUCGGAAUUCUUGGUGUAGCGGUGAAAUGCGUAGAUAUCAAGAGGAACACCUGAGGUGAAGACGGGUUGCUGGGCUGACACUGACGCUGAGGCGCGAAAGCCAGGGGAGCAAACGGG